UUCCCAUUGGUGUUUUGUCAGCUGAGUACUUACAGUCAUCUGUAGGAAAUAUGUGUCCAUCCUUGGGGAUGAGACAGGUGGGGGGCAGGGGAGGAGGGGUGGGAGAGGGAAAGAGAACUGGGAUUGACAUGUAAAACAAGCUUGUUUCUAAUUUAAAUUUUAAAAAAAUCUUUAAAAAAAAUCUGUCAGUCCAGGUAUCCCUUCCUUUCUGAAGCAUACUACACUGACACUGUGACCUGGUCAUAAGGUCGCUGGCCCACCAUGGGGAAAAGUAGCAAUUUUAUUGAUCCCCACAGAACUCAUAGGACGUUUCCUUUUCUAGAUUAUUUCUCUAGGGGUACUCACCCAAGAAAUAAUAACAAGCACUCCUCUCUUCUGUGUAAUUAAUGACCCCUAAACUCCACAAGUUGGGAUGCUGCUCUGUUGUUCUGGCUGGCUUCAAACUCCUGGACUUAAGCAAUUCUCCUGCCUCAGAUUCCUAUGUAGCUGAGUUGUGCACUACUGUGCCUGGUAGGAGUGGAUCGUGUUACUUCACAGUUUCUGUGUGUGACUGGCUCGGUAACUCGGGUAGGCAGCUCUGGUUCCAUCUCUCUGCAGCUAUCUGUGACCUGAGGCUGAGGAUUUACCUUCAAGAUAGCACAUAUGACUGGCGAGGUGGGGCUGGCUCUUAGUAUGAAGCCUAAGUUCCUAAAGUAGUAUUUUAAUUACUUAGUGUAAAGUAAGUUUUAAAAUUUUAAUUAAAUGAGUAUGAUUCUGGGCCAAGUACAGGGCAAGGGCAACAGAGGAGAUGGACAAGAGCACAGGAGGGAAGGGGAAGGAGGCUUAAGGGGAGUGGGCUCUUGACUCCAAGAAGCAAGCAGCUCAGUGGGGAUUUAUAGGUACCCACAGAAGACACUCAAGAUCAAGGAAUGGAAUAGAACUAGUUUCAUGCCCAGAGUAUUCCACAGUGGGGACAGAACUCUAACCGCAGGAGAAUCUCAAUGUUUUCAGUUGAAGCUAGACCAAACAGGACUGCCACCAUCUUGCCUAGAUCCCUAAAAUGGACUGACAGCACCAGGACUAUGGACAGUGGUGGAUUCUGGGAAUAUAGCAACAGGAUCAGAUGCUCAAGGUUCUCCUCUCCUCUCCCCACCUCUCCUCUCCUCUCCUUUCCUCUCCUCUUCUCUCCCUACCUUCCCUCUAUAUUUACAAUACUGGGGACUGAACCUAGGGCCUCAUAUACAUUUAAGCACUUUACCACUGAGCUACAUGCCCAUCCCAGUGAUUUUGUUUUUUCCCUGAGCAGGGUCACUAUAUCUAAAGCCCAAGACAGAGUAGACAUUUGAAGGUGGUUCCCGCCCUCCCAAGGGAGAGCCCAACCUGAAAGUAUGGAGCACCGUUCCCUGGACUGCAUAAAGGAAAAGGCUGGUUCAUCGUGGGCAUUCAUCAGUUCUCUUCUAAUGUGUGGCUCACAUUCCAGGUCAGAUUCUGCCAUAGCAGGGAAGUCAGUGGUGGUGGGGGGGGCGGUGGACCCUGAGGGAGCUCAUCAAAGGUGUGCAAAGGUGCACACUAGUGCUCACUUUCUCUACUUACACAGGACCCACCCACAAUUAAUUCAGAGCUUCCCGAACCAACUAACCUAAUCAAGAGACUCCCUCACACUGCUACCCGAAGACCCAGCUCCCAGGAGAUUCUUGAUGCUGUCCAGUUGACACCAAUGUCUCACCUAGAGACUCUUCCCUCUCUAGGAUGUAUGGUGACCAACCAGGCACCAACCAGGCAACUUCAGGGUUACCUUCAGGAGAAGCAGCCAGAAGAGAGACCAUGAUAAAACCUUUCCCCAGUAUUAUACACGUGUGACAAGCACGGCUCUCCUGAGCUGUCUCUAGUCCCUUAUUUUAACAACUCCACCUCAUGUAAGAACAUUUCUCUGUAUGUAUAGGAAAUAGCUUCAAAUGAUGUCACUGCCUGCAGAGAGGUGAUGGGUGACCUUUGACCCCCUUAUUUCUAUUUUUUGCCCAAAUUCCUUUUUAUAGAGAGUGCUCUACUCUUAUAUUCGGAAAGAUUUUUCUUUCCUUUCUAUUAUUUUUAAAAAGCUGUCAUAUUAUUGCAUAAUUCUUUUUUGUCUUUUUCUUCAAGAACUGGCAAAGAGUAAAGAAGAUUGUGACACCGACUCCAUCCUCAGGCCUCAAGCUCUGCCUUCCUGGAUUCCUCAGGUGCUUCCUGAUUCUGCAGUUCCCCAGCCCACUGCAGGGCCACCAGGACCUAGAGUCCAAGGGUCAGGAAAGAGCUUGAAGCUUGUUUUGGCAACACUGUUGUUAUCCAUAGCUGCAAAAGAGUCUGAGUCACCGGCUAUAGUUUACAGGAACCAGUUUAGGACAUGAACACAGAAGCAAAGAACUUAGGGACCCCCAAUGUGUAUUUAUCACCAAAGGUGAUCUGUGCUGUGCCAUCACCUGGAGUAGAAGGCUGCACAUGAAGGUGCCCUUCUCUGCUUGAGAUUAUAAGGUGUGACCCAGAGCUCUGCUUUUCUGGAGUGUCAUGGCCUACGUGCAGAUAAAUACACAGGUAUCUGGAGCCUAAGGAAAGUAACUGUCACCAGUGUGCAGCUGUAACUGGUUAGGGAGGAAAAGAGGUUGUGUGGGGGAGGGCGGGGGGGGGGAUAUAGGGGUAUGUCUGACAGUUCUCAUCUCAGUGAGUGUUUGGGAGAACAAAGCAGGUCAUUCAAACUCUGCCUUCCAUUGUUCAAGGUCAAUCUCUACAUUCAGCCUCCUUAUCCCAGGGCUGCCCAGACCCCAGGACUGACUGACUUGAGCACUAUGAGGAUGAAGGGCCUACUUAGAUGCUUGGUACCCAAGGAGGGAGUCACACACACCCUUCAUCCUUGAGUCAUCCGACUGAUGAGUGGUCUGACAGGUCCUAGCCUCAAAUACAGUUGAGGAAACUGAUGCUUAGUUUCUAGGCCUGUCCCCGGUCUGUGGGCACGAAAACAGUGGAGCAAGGAGGAUUGCACCCAGAGCGCUCGGAUGCUGCCUAGAACUGGGUGAGGUGACAAGCAGGGAAUGAGGGCCCCCUACCUCUAGCACUCUCUGGCAGUCCCAAGACCCCAAUUCUAGCCCUGUGGCUCCUCAGCCCAGGAUUGCAGAACCAGGGGAUUGGGAUAAAUCUUUAUAUUGUCUACUACCUAAGAAGGCCCUAAUACAAUAAGCUCAUUUUUAAAACUGAAACUGAAUGUCAUAGAACUCAUGCCUGUAAUUAAUACUAGCCUUGGACAACAUAACAUGACUGACCUCAAAAAAAAAAAUAAAUCAACAAAAUUUAAUUUUGUUGUUGCUAUUAUUUUGUUUUUCCAAAGUAGGGUUUCUCUAUGUAGUCCUGACUGUUCUGGAACUCUGUAGACCAGGAUGACCUCAAACUCACUGAUUCACUUGCCUCUCCCUCCCAAGGGCUGGGAUUAAAGGUGUUUACUACCACUGCGUGGCACAAAAUUAAAUUUAAAACUUUUAAAUAAAAUAACUUCUGCUCUUCAGAAUGUGUGUCACUAGGCACCGCCUACCACCCUCUUGUUCUUGUUAUCUGUGAGUACUGCCUUGUCUCUUGAGAAAUGAGGGAGUAUGGGGGGGGGGUGUGCAGGGACGGGGACCCCUGACCCGGACCAAGUGCUGGGACUACAGGUGUCUGCCACCACACUCAGACAGUGUCCCACAAUCUAAAAGCAUGCAAGGCCCCCCUCAGAGUGGCUGCUUUCUCUAUUCUGCUAAGUUCUGCCUCCAGACAGAUGUGUGUCCUAGUCAGUUCCUUCUUUUGGAGCAUUUGUCCACAGGUCUUCAGGUCCUAAGAACACCUAUGGAGGAGGCAUCUCGUGAAGCAGCUCUGUACCUCAGUGUGCAUUAGUCCUUUCCCCUUAGCCUUUCCACCUUCCCUGCUCUGUCCCCUUCUCCAGGGUUUUACUGUGUAGCCCAGGCUGUACUCAAACUCUCAAGCCUCCUACUUCAAACUUCAAGCUCUGGCAUUAUGGGCAUGUGUCACUAUAUACAGCCUGCUUUAAUUUCUUUAUAGUCCUCACCCACAUACGAAACAGUUUGACUUUGUGUCCACACUGCUCUUUCAAUUAAUGGAGACUACUGUGGUAGGGGAGAUGGCUCACUUGGGAAAGUGCCUGUCAUGCAAGAGUGAGGACCAGAAUUUGGAUCCCCAGCACAAAUGUGAAACUGCCACAGCACAUCUGUAACCCCAGUGGGUGGCAGACUCUGGGUGUGAUGACAGGUAACAUAAUACCUGACAAAAGUAGCAUAUUAAUGUCCAGUUUCAUCAUGGUAGGAGAGCUAGGGCAACCAGAACUUGAAGGAGCUGGUCACAUUUCGUCCAUCCACAGUCAGCAAAAGGAGAGGAAUGGAUAUUCAGUAUUAGCUAGCUUCCUUCAUUAUAUGCAGCCCAGGACCCAAACCCAGGGAACUACAAAAUCCUCCAUGUCAAUGAACUCAAUCAAGAUAAUCUCUCACAGGUUUGUUCAGAGGCUAACCUAAUAUAAAUCCCUCCCAAGUGCCUGGAGCUAGGCCUCCUAGGUGAUUCCAAAUCCUGUCAAGUUGACAAUCCACACUGAUCAUCUCAGGGACCUUCUCAAGUGGAGAGUGAUCAAGAAAGACACCAAUAUUGACACCUGGCCUCCUCAGACAUGUACACCGCACGCCCACACAUUUAAAUAUAUAUCCGAAUCCACAAACAUACUUUUUAAAAUCCUGGGCUUGGGCUGUAGCCCACCAGUGGAGUGCCUUGCUAGCAUGUGUGAGGCUCUGAGCACCAUCACUACCAUUGCAACAAAUACACUUACAAACAGCGCUUAAGGGCAAGUGUUUGCCUGGCUCAAUCCCAGGGUCUGGUGCAUUCUGGGCACAGUGGAUUUGACCGAAACACUCAUUGGUGCUCGAACUGACUGGAGAAGGAACACCAAACCCAACCGUGAAGAUGGGCUGAAUGUCUCAGGACUGGAGAGGGAAGCCAGAGAGUUCCCUGCAUCCCAGGGGCAGGCUGUGGCCAGGAGCGUGGGCGGGUUAAAUGGAAGAUAAAAUAAAUGCUAGCAUCCCUCCAGGUCUGUUCGCAGUGCUGCUGAGGAGGUCGCAUAACGGAGCAGGGAAUUCCUAGCAAGAGUUUCAGGAUGAUUGAUAGGUGGUAGGAUAUCCGUCUCGACGUCCUUAACUAAGUGCUCUCUCGCGGGAGCCCAGGAUUUCAGAAGACAAAGACAUUCAGAAGAGUCUGAAACCAGGGAUUUGUCCCCUAGGAUUUCAGAAGUAAGGAAAGCCCAUUACCCAACCUUUUAGGGACAAACACUGAGGUCCUGUUUCCGAAGGUCUCCCUAAGACCUGAGAUUUGCUGCAAGCACACACAGCAGGCACUCUUACACACGGGUUAGACUGGUAGUCCAGCGGUCCAGCCCUCAGCAGCAGCACGCAGCACACACGGCUCACACGCGGGGCUGCAUCCUUUUUAUUCACCCGGUGACUCAACACAGGCUUCUCCAGAUCCCCACCCUAAGGAUGCAUCCCCACCGCAGCUACUUGCCUUCCUAGCCCCCUCCACCCAAUUCCUAAUUCCAUUGUCAGGGUUGAACAAAAGGCCCAGGCAUGGCAUCCUGGGUUGAAGGAUUUUUAACUCUGCCAAUCCCAGGAGGCUCCGACGUACAGCAGCUUCCUGUGGGAGAAUAGUGACUGAGACAUCUCCCUCAGGCUACUGAGGUUUGGAUUUGUUUCUGUCCCGUCGAUGUCUGUCUCUGUCCCCGAGUUUUCAUCCCGGUCCGUGACCACCCUCCUCGGGGUGGGGGUUCUCUGUGUAGCCCUGGCUGUCCUGGAACUCUGUGGGCCAGGCUGGCCUCUAAAUCAGAGAUCUACCUGCCUUGGCCUCCGGAGCGCCGGGUUUAAAGGCGUGCGCCACUCUGCCGGGCUUUGUUUCUAUUUUUAAGAACUGAAACAAGUUUCCAAUCGGACACUCCCCAGGAUGUCCCCAGAGAACUCCCAGAGGCCAUCGGGUCUUGAGGUCCGGAUGACUUCCGAGCCCCAGCCCUUCAGAGUUGAUGGUGAAGAACCCCAGACUCUGCUGAAGGCUUCCUAUGAAGUUCAGACCACAGAAAAUGAUGGCAUCAAGCACAGAUGAAAAGGAACAGUGUGUAACUGUGUGUGCUCAGGCACCAUUAAUAUGUGUUGAGCAUUUCACAGAGCAAGUUCACAGACACGCAUGUGUCCUGCAGAGUGAGAGCAGAGACAAAACCAGGAUCCUGAAGUCCUGUGAGAGAUCUGUGGGCAGUGGUCACUCAGACCUGGGCCAAGGAUGGGGUUCUUCUGUGAUGAUGGGAGAAAGUGUCCUGGACAAACAGGGGAGAGCAUGGAUGUGGAGCUGUGUGCUGUGUGCAAGGCUGAGCAGGGAGAGCACGGAUGUGGAGCUGUGUGUGAAGGCCGAGUCCUUCGUCUCUUCUGUUUUUACCUGUUUCAUCUGUAAUCGGGCUCUUCCUAGAGGCUUAACCUGGUCCAGGGUUCCUUAUGUCCUCCUUCCCAGCCUGUGUCUUCCUCCACAUCCUGCCACUGUUAUGUUCUGUGUUACAACAAGUUAGACUCAACAAAGCCAAGGAGCACAAGCAGGAAAGGGUACACUGACCUCUGUUUAGAAAACACAGGAAAGGAACAAGGAAGCUCCCACAGCCGCAAAAGCCAGGGGACUAAGCCACAGCGCCUGCUCUCAGGGGAGAACUCUGAUUUUGAAGAAGAUAAGGACAGGCCAGUCCUGGGAAUGAGGACCAGCUCCCUCCUGCCUCCUGGUGGUGGCUAACCUCUUCACAGUCUUUCCCGUCAAGUGGUUGGAUGCUGAUCCUACCCAGCACAAUGGCCUCUUCUUGAUGAAGCUGCCUAAGUGGUCAGACUUCCCGGAAGAAGGAGACAUGUGGGCUCAUGAUCUCGGAGGUUUCAGUCCAGAUCAAGAUGUAGGACUUUCAACUCCUUCUGCAGCACCAUGUCUGCCUGCAUGCCACCGUGUUCUGCCAUGAUGAUAACGGACUAAGCCUCUGAACUUAAACCAUGGGGCUUCUCUGUGCUGGGACCAAAACAAGACAGUGGAAAGGAGGAAGAGACAGGAGGAUUGGGUUCCUGGGCUAGGGAAUGUUCUCAAACCUUCCGUAGCCACCUCUAAAGUGGGAGUAUGUGAGCACUAUUGCCUUCAAGGACUAAAUACCCCGGCACAUUCCAUGCUCUCUGGGAUCUGUCGUUUCAUGCCUGUGUAAGCCCGAGGCUGCUGUGGCUGCCCUUGCCUGGGUGUACACAUCAGAUGUUACAAACUGGGGUGUCAGCAGAUGGGGGAAGCUCAUAAGAGAGCAGGGCCUCUUACAAGAGCAGCUUCUGCACUGUGUGUGUGUGGGGGGGGGGCGGCUGCAGAGCGGGCCAGGCCUG
rnacentral:lncRNA from 1 species